CCUGACUGCUAUCGGAUUGAUACUAAGCCAUGCGAGUCAUUGCAGUAAUGCAAGGCAGACGGCUCAGUAACGCGUAGUCAACCUACCCUAUGGACGGGAAUAACCUCGGGAAACUGAGUAUAAUGCCCGAUAGAACACUAUACCUGGAAUGGUUUGUGUUCCAAAUGAAUGUCGCCGUAGGAUGGGACUGCGGCCUAUCAGUUUGUUGGUGAGGUAAUGGCCCACCAAGACUAUUACAGGUACGGGCUCUGAGAGGAGUAGCCCGGAGAUGGGUACUGAGACACGGACCCAGGCCCUAUGGGGCGCAGCAGGCGAGAAAACUUUGCAAUGUGCGAAAGCACGACAAGGUUAAUCCGAGUGGUUUGUGCUAAACGAACCUUUUGACAGUCCUAGAAACACUGUUGAAUAAGGGGUGGGCAAGUUCUGGUGUCAGCCGCCGCGGUAAAACCAGCACCUCAAGUGGUCAGGAUGAUUAUUGGGCCUAAAGCAUCCGUAGCCGGCUCUGUAAGUUUUCGGUUAAAUCUGUACGCUCAACGUACAGGCUGCCGGGAAUACUGCAGAGCUAGGGAGUGGGAGAGGUAGACGGUACUCGGUAGGAAGGGGUAAAAUCCUUUGAUCUAUUGAUGACCACCUGUGGCGAAGGCGGUCUACCAGAACACGUCCGACGGUGAGGGAUGAAAGCUGGGGGAGCAAACCGGAUUAGAUACCCGGGUAGUCCCAGCUGUAACUAUGCAAACUCAGUGAUGCAUUG
rnacentral:rRNA from 1 species